rnacentral:rRNA from 1 species
AGUGAACGCUGGCGGUAGGCCUAACACAUGCAAGUCGAACGGCAGCACAGGAGAGCUUGCUCUCUGGGUGGCGAGUGGCGGACGGGUGAGGAAUACAUCGGAAUCUACUUUUUCGUGGGGGAUAACGUAGGGAAACUUACGCUAAUACCGCAUACGACCUACGGGUGAAAGCAGGGGACCUUCGGGCCUUGCGCGAUGGAAUGAGCCGAUGACGGAUUAGCUAGUUGGCGGGGUAAAGGCCCACCAAGGCGACGAUCCGUAGCUGGUCUGGAAGGAUGAUCAGCCACACUGGAACUGGGACACGGUCCAGACUGCUACGGGAGGCAGCAGUGGGGAAUAUUGGACAAUGGGCGCAAGCCUGAUCCAGCCAUACCGCGUGGGUGAAGAAGGCCUUCGGGUUGUAAAGCCCUUUUGUUGGGAAAGAAAUCCAUCUGGUUAAUACCCGGGUGGGAUGACGGUACCCAAAGAAUAAGCACCGGCUAACUUCGUGCCAGCAGCCGCAGUAA